rnacentral:rRNA from 1 species
AGAGUUUGAUCCUGGCUCAGAUUGAACGCUGGCGGCAUGCCUUACACAUGCAAGUCGAACGGCAGCGGGGACUUCGGUCCGCCGGCGAGUGGCGAACGGGUGAGUAAUGCAUCGGAACGUACCCGGAAGUGGGGGAUAACGUAGCGAAAGUUACGCUAAUACCGCAUAUUCUGUGAGCAGGAAAGAGGGGGAUCUUCGGACCUCUUGCUUUCGGAGCGGCCGAUGUCAGAUUAGCUAGUUGGUGAGGUAAAGGCUCACCAAGGCGACGAUCUGUAGCGGGUCUGAGAGGAUGAUCCGCCACACUGGAACUGAGACACGGUCCAGACUCCUACGGGAGGCAGCAGUGGGGAAUUUUGGACAAUGGGCGCAAGCCUGAUCCAGCCAUGCCGCGUGAGUGA